GCAAACUUGGUCAUUUAGAGGAAGUAAAAGUCGUAACAAGGUUUCCGUAGGUGAACCUGCGGAAGGAUCAUUAACAAAAUAUACAAACGAUGUGCAGCAACUAGUGUCUGCGUCAGCAGAUGCUAGUUGUUGCACAGAGUCGUGCGUGCAUUACUAUUGUAAUGCAUGUGCGGAUGCACUACUGCUGUUGCAGUCUUGCUCUCGCAAGCCAUCAACAGUGUGUACGCAUUAAUCCUGAUCGAAUACAGUGCAUAUCCGUAUGGCCAUGCAACAUUGACUGCAGAUGCCUUGCUAUCGCAAGCCAUCCGCAGUCAUCUGUAUUCGUGAUACACGAUAUAAGUUGACAACAAUCGACAACCAUACACACUUUUAACAAUGGAUCUCUAGGCUCUUGCAUCGAUGAAGAACGCAGC
rnacentral:misc_RNA from 1 species